rnacentral:rRNA from 1 species
UACGAAGGGGGGCUAGCGUUGCUCGGAAUUACUGGGCGUAAAGCGCGCGCAGGCGGCUAUCCAAGUCAGUGGUGAAAGCCCGGAGCUCAACUCCGGAGCUGCCAUUGAAACUGUUUAGCUUGAGUAUGAGAGAGGUGAGUGGAAUUCCCAGUGUAGAGGUGAAAUUCGUAGAUAUUGGGAAGAACACCGGUGGCGAAGGCGGCUCACUGGCUCAUUACUGACGCUCCAGGCGCGACAGCGUGGGGAGUCAAACAG